rnacentral:RNase_P_RNA from 1 species
GAGUUGUCGCGGCCGCAAGGCUGAGGAAAGUCCGGGCAACGCAGAGCACCAUACUUCCUAACGGGAAGGCGCGCGCAAGCGCGACAGACAGUGCCACAGAAACGAUACCGCCCGCUUGCGGGUAAGGGUGAAAACGCGAGGUAAGAGCUCACGCUGUCGUCAGUGAUGCCGACAGGGGUAAACCUUAUGGGUUGAAAGACCAAAUAAACCGGGGCUUGAGGGCUGCUCGUCCGACCCGGAGGGUAGGUUGAUAGAGGCAUACGGUGACGUAUGCUCGAGAUAAAUGACAACACAAAACAGAACCCGGCUUACGGGUUUUCCU